CGAUUACUAGCAAUUCCAGCUUCAUGCAGGCGAGUUGCAGCCUGCAAUCCGAACUGAGACGACUUUUAGGGAUUUGCUCCACCUCGCGGCUUUGCCUCCCUCUGUUGAUCGCCAUUGUAUUACGUGUGUAGCCCAGGACAUAAGGGGCAUGAUGAUUUGACGUCGUCCCCGCCUUCCUCCGUUUUGUCAACGGCAGUCUCGCUAGAGUGCUCUUGCGUAGCAACUAACAAUAGGGGUUGCGCUCGUUGCGGGACUUAACCCAACAUCUCACGACACGAGCUGACGACAACCAUGCACCACCUGUCUCUACUUUCCCCGAAGGGCACCUAAUGCAUCUCUGCUUCGUUAGUAGGAUGUCAAGUCCUGGUAAGGUUCUUCGCGUUGCGUCGAAUUAAACCACAUAAUCCACUGCUUGUGCGGGCCCCCGUCAAUUCCUUUGAGUUUCAACCUUGCGG
rnacentral:rRNA from 1 species